rnacentral:rRNA from 1 species
GACGAACGCUGGCGGCGUGCUUAACACAUGCAAGUCGAACGCUGAAGCUCAGCUUUUGUUGGGUGGAUGAGUGGCGAACGGGUGAGUAACACGUGAGUAACCUGCCUCCUUCUUUGGGAUAACGCCCGGAAACGGGUGCUAAUACUGGAUAUUCACUGGUCUUCGCAUGGGGGUUGGUGGAAAGGGUUUUUCUGGUGGGGGAUGGGCUCGCGGCCUAUCAGCUUGUUGGUGGGGUGAUGGCCUACCAAGGCUUUGACGGGUAGCCGGCCUGAGAGGGUGACCGGUCACAUUGGGACUGAGAUCCGGCCCAGACUCCUACGGGAGGCAGCAGUGGGGAAUAUUGCACAAUGGGCGCAAGCCUGAUGCAGCGACGCCGCGUGAGGGAUGGGGGCCUUCGGGUUGUGAACCUCUUUCGCUCAUGGUCAAGCCGCAACAAUGGUUGUGGUGAGGGUAGUGGGUAAAGAAGCGCCGGCUAACUACGUG